AUUGAACGCUGGCGGCAGGCCUAACACAUGCAAGUCGAGCGGAGCGGCGGACGGGAGAGUAAUGCCUAGGAAUCUGCCUGGUAGUGGGGGAUAACGUACGGAAACGGGCGCUAAUACCGAAUAAUAUCAGAUGAGCCUAGGUCGGCUGAGCUAGUGGGUGGGGUAAAGGCCUACCAAGGCGACGAUCCGUAACUGGUCUGAGAGGAUGAUCAGUCACACUGGAACUGAGACACGGUCCAGACUCCUACGGGAGGCAGCAGUGGGGAAUAUUGGACAAUGGGCGAAAGCCUGAUCCAGCCAUGCCGCGUGUGUGAAGAAGGUCUUCGGAUUGUAAAGCACUUUAAGUUGGGAGGCGUUACCGACAGAAGAAGCACCGGCUAACUCCGUGCCAGCCGCCGCGGUAAUAC
rnacentral:rRNA from 1 species